rnacentral:rRNA from 1 species
GUACACGCUGUGACUAGCAUAUCAAUAAGCGGAGGAAAAGAAACUAACAAGGAUUCCCCUAGUAACGGCGAGUGAAGCGGGAAGAGCUCAAAUUUGAAAUCUUAAAGGGUUUCCCUUUACGAAUUGUAGUUUAAAGAAGUGUUUUCUGUUGAGGUUUUGGUAAAAGUUCUUUGGAAUAGGAACAUCAUAGAGGGUGAGAAUCCCGUAUUUGACCUUUACUUUCAACUUUGUGAUACACUUUCAAAGAGUCGGAUUGUUUGGGAAUGCAGUCCAAAAUGGGUGGUAAAUUUCAUCUAAAGCUAAAUAUUGGCGAGAGACCGAUAGCGAACAAGUACCGUGAGGGAAAGAUGAAAAGAACUUUGAAAAGAGAGUUAAACAGUACGUGAAAUUGUCAAAAGGGAAGCGUUUGACACCAGUGUUGUUUUUCUGAAAAUCAAUUAAAGAACUGUUUAUGCUAAGCUUGUUUAGACUUUAUCAGCUAACUGUUUAGUUUUGAGCUUUUCUUUAAUGCACUUUUCAGUUAACAAGUCAACAUCAAUUUCUUUUGCUGUAAAAAAGCUUGAGGAAGGUGGCUUGAGAUUCGUCUUAAGUGUUUAUAGCCUCUUGCCUAUGCAGUCGGAGAGAUUGAGGUCCUGCAGCGUAGAUCCUUCGGGGCUAAAUGCAUUUGUGCUAAGUUAUAGCAUUUUAUAGACAACUUGUUGACUAUGAUUUGUCUUGUAGCUUACUCGCUUAUGUUAUUUUACCUACGCUUAGGAUGUUGAGUCGUAGAGCACGCAG